CCUACGGGUGGCAGCAGUGAGGAAUAUUGGUCAAUGGGCGCGAGCCUGAACCAGCCAAGUCGCGUGAGGGAUGACGGCCCUACGGGUUGUAAACCUCUUUUGCCGGGGAGCAACGGGCGCCACGUGUGGCGCCACUGAGAGUACCCGGAGAAAAAGCAUCGGCUAACUCCGUGCCAGCAGCCGCGGUAAUACGGAGGAUGCGAGCGUUAUCCGGAUUUAUUGGGUUUAAAGGGUGCGUAGAUGGGUUGUUAAGUCAGUUGUGAAAGUUUGCGGCUCAACCGUAAAAUUGCAAUUGAAACUGGCGUUCUUGAGUGGGCGAGAGGUAUGCGGAAUGCGUGGUGUAGCGGUGAAAUGCAUAGAUAUCACGCAGAACUCCGAUUGCGAAGGCAGCAUACCGGCGCCCAACUGACGCUGAAGCACGAAAGCGUGGGUAUCGAACAGGAUUAGAUACCCUAGUAGUC
rnacentral:rRNA from 1 species